rnacentral:ribozyme from 1 species
AAGGGAAAAAAAAAAAAAAAAAAAAAACGCAAUCUCACCAACUGACGAUGUGCGAUGCGUGUAUGCGUUUUUUUUGUUGGUCUUGUUUUUGUCUUGUUAUUUGUUCUAUGGUUUUCUUCUUGAGGAUGGUUCGUGUGAUUCGUUCAAG